GACAGCAGUAGCCACGGUAAUACGAAGGGGGCUAGCGUUGUUCGGAUUUACUGGGCGUAAAGGGAGCGCAGGCGGUCAGGAAAGUCUGGAGUAAAAGGCUAUGGCUCAACCAUAGUGUGCUCUGGAAACUGUCUGACUUGAGUGCAGAAGGGGAGAGUGGAAUUCCGUGUGUAGCGGUGAAAUGCGUAGAUAUAUGGAGGAACACCAGUGGCGAAAGCGGCUCUCUGGUCUGUCACUGACGCUGAGGCUCGAAAGCGUGGGUAGCGAACAGGAUUAGAUACCCCAGUAGUCCCUGUCUCUUAUACA
rnacentral:rRNA from 1 species